rnacentral:misc_RNA from 1 species
UGCCAAGUGAAAUCUUUAUAAAACUACUAUCCAAACUUAAUAAAACCAAAACAAAGAACUUGAAAAAAACAAUAAAAACCUACGACCCCUCACCUAAAUUUAUUCCCUACUCCUCUCAGAUGCUCGACCCUGCUCCCUCCCUCUGGACCUUCUCCGAGAAGAACUUUGUUGCAAACAUGUUAUCAAGGAAAAACUCCCUGUAUGGAUGAUUCUUAGGCACAAGCUUCCUAAACUGCUCAAAUUUUUUCUCUGCCUCAUCUUUCUUCCUCAACAGAGUAUAUAUAAUUCCCUGACACAAAUACGGCCUAAAAUCCCUUGGCUCCUCCUUCACCAAUUCCUCGUAAACCUUCAGAGCGUCCACAUAUUUCUCCUCUAUCACUCUAAUUUGUGCAAUUAAUAGCUUAAAAUCCCUCAAGUCAGAUUUUUUCUUCUCUUUCUUGCAUUUAUUCAUCGCUGCUUCAAUUCUUUUUAACACCUCGUCCAAUGAAUUCCCAGAUUCAGAAUGCGCCAUCACUAGACCAUGAUAAGCCUCCACCCGAAGAGGGUCUUUCUCUAGUAUUUCCUCGAACCCUUUUCUCGCCGAUUCAAAUUCUCCACUGUAGCUAUAAAUUUGAGCUUUUAGCAAUGGCCACUCAUCCUCACUGGGCUCCAGCUCAAUUAAGCGGUCCACAACUUCGAUUGCUCCAAGAAGCUUCCGGGCUUUGAUCCUCACCUCCAUGAGGGAACGCAGAGCUUCAGUAUCAUCAGGAUGUCGAGCCAAAUGCUGCUCAAGGUCUCGUUCUUGUUCUUCAUAUGAUACAUUUUCCUUCGAGGAUUCCUUGGUGGGCUCUACGGUGGCUUGCGAGGCGACCGGGGCGGCAAUUGCUGGUUUAAUCUGGAGUCUCGAAAAGAGGAUUGCAGCAGCGGCAGUAAGAGUGAUGCAGGUGGUUUUGAGGAGAGGGUUUAGGGUUUGAAGAGGAGAGGGUUGAUGGGUUUGCGAUGUUUUAUUGAGUGGAGAGCGAGAAGAUGAGGCUCUAACGGAGGAAAUUUUGAACGGUGAUGAUGAUGACGAUAGAGGAGGUGGGGUCCUGAAGGAGAGGAAAGCUUUGGGUUUGGAGAAGGAUGGACGAUAGGGAUUGAGGGAGCAAUGAAAGGGUUGAUGAGGGCAGAGCACUUUAGCAAUGGAAUCCAUCUUUGAUAUACAGAAAAUUGCAGAGACAGAAAUGGAGAGAGGUGGAGGGGCUAAAACCCUGACGAUAAUGAAAGGGUACACGGGAAGGAAG